CAUAAGAACAGCCCUUAGCCGUGGUAUAUUGGCCAUAUACCACACCUCCUCGGGCAAUAUUGCUUAAGUACACCCUCAUAUAUCAAGAAUAUCAAGUAUAACUGAAAUUAAUGAAGAACUAAAUAAAUUGUUUAACUAAAUGCAACCACAGCAUAUGGCAGCUCUAUAAAUUGUCCCAUAGCAUGAUCAAUUGUGGAAUUUGUUUAGGUAGGGUUUCCAUGUCUUGUUACUGUAAUUGAUGACAACCCCUCAUGGCGGUCCAUUUGUUAAAAAUGAUCCCAGAACCAGGUGCCAGUCAACAGGAAGGGCCAAAGUGCCGUGGUGUUUGGCUCUGCUAUGUACAUCUACGGGGGAUACAUUGACAUGAUUGGCUCAUCACAGGAGUUUUGGAAGUUAGAAUUUGACACCAAGUUGUGGACCCUGCUGGACUGCAUCCAGAUGGAGGUGGGUCCUGGACCCAGACACAGUCACUCUGCCAUGACCGUCCUGGACUGCAUGUACCUGUUUGGGGGGUCUGAGGGGCCUGAGUGAGCAGAGGGACCUGUGGAGGUGGAACUCCACAUGUCACUCCUGGAGAUGUCUCAAAGCCAUCGCCACCAUGGGGCAGUCUGUUUACAACAUUGACAUCAGCAAACCUCUCACUCACAAGACGCCAUACACGCUGUCUGCCAUCUAGCCAGUACAGUUGAUACCGGGAUUCAUCUAUGAAGAGCACACUUCUCCAGCAUGACAUUGGCAAUCCCAGCUUCACCACCCGGACCUGGGUGAAGCUAGCCGUGCUACCCAGCUCCAACCCUCCACCCCACAGGAUCUACCACUGCUGUGCUGGCCUAGGCCCCAGCUACCAGCCUGUCAUGACCACCAGCAUCACCAUCAGAAACAGUCUGGACAGCAAUCUACAGUCAUUCAAAAACAAAUGCUUCCCUUCCUCCUCAGAGUUAGAGGGCACUAUAGAGCCGGAGACGUUAAGUAGCUCAGAGAAGCUAUUGACUGAACUGGGGGACUAUUGUAAUGGUCUAAGUGGGAACUAUGCUUAGCGCUUUGGGAACUGUCUGACUUUUUAAAAUAAUUUUCAUACUUUUUUCAUCAAACCCACAACCGUGGCGCUGCUAGUGUAAUAUAUAAUUAAAUAUUCACUAUUAGCAAUUACUGAUUUUAUUUUCAAUACAAUUCAACAAAUUAUUGUAUUUCUGUUUUGCUAUAUAUUUACAUGCAUUUCAUUUGUAAAAGCUGUCAAAAGGGUGGAGGGAACGAAAUGUACUCUUGAGGACUCCAUGGUGUUGGGAAGGCUUUCAAUGCAGGCUGCAGAGUUUGCUUCCCACCAGCAGGAUCCGUGGAGGUUACGUGCAAAGUUUUUUAUAGUAAUGGUGAUCAAUGUCAUGCUAAAGUGGAGGGAAAGUCCAUGAAGAUGGACAUUAUUGUGGAUGCGGCAGAGUGGUUCCUGGGGCUAAAAUAUUUCUCAAGAAAGGGAUUACAUGAGGCUCUGUCACAAGCAGUGAUACCCUCUCAGGCCCCAGAGUGUGGGGAGGGAGCUAUUGAAGAAAUGAGGGAGUGUGAUAUAGGUUUUGUUAAGUCAUUUUUUUGUAUGGCAUUUCCUGUUUUACCUUAAGGAGUUUCCUUUUCCCCCCCUGUACAGAUGGUGGCACCAUAAAUAUAGUAUGACGACCGCCAUUAAACUUCACCGACGAAGAAGUUCACAAAAGAUCAUGAACAGUCAAAAUCAUGUUUGUCUUGAAAUUGGAUAAUAUUUGGAUGAAACCAGAUAAAGUUUAUUCAUAAAGUUACUGAUCCCGUCCCCCAUGUCAAACACUUGGAUUCUGAAGGUGGGAUUUUUAAGGGGAUAGGGUAACAUCACACUAACUCCUAUUUUAAUACACUAUUGGUAACAUGAUAUUAUAUUACCUAGCUUAAAUAAGUAACGCCUUGUAAGCAACAUCAGAGAAGGUGUGUUUGCAGAGGGGUCGUAGUUUAUAAAGCUAGAUAGCUACUCUACUGGUGCCAAAAUUGGACUGUAUGGUGUCAGCAAAUGUAAUUAAAAGUUGACACUUCACCUAUGGCAAUGAUACUUGUAUGUUUCCCCUUUCAUUUGUGUCUGGUGUUAACUAGUUAAUUGCUAGCUAGAUCUUCAUCUGUGUCUGGUGUUAACUAGUUAAUGGCUAGCUAGAUCUUCAUCUGUGUCUGGUGUUAACUAGUUAAUGGCUAGCUAGGUCUUCAUCUGUGUCUGGUGUUAACUAGUUAAUGGCUAGCUAGGUCUUCAUCUGUGUCUGGUGUUAACUAGUUAAUGGCUAGCUAGGUCUUCAUCUGUGUCUGGUAUUAGCUAGUUAAUGGCUAGCUAGAUCUUCAGCCAGCAUGGAACAAACGGGUUGUUGAAAACUCUGACGCAGUUGUCAUGUCAACACAUCUGUCAGUGCUGCUGUGAACUGCGUCAAUAAAAGACAUGCCAAAAGGGAGAUGUGUAUAUAUAGAUUUUCCGUAAUUGAUGCAAUUUCAAUGUUUGUUGCUUUGCUUAUUUCCAAUUUGUUUUUAUACGUUUUUACUGAAACACUGUCAGUCAAGGCGAGCUCAUGAUUAUUAGCUCCCCGCUCACUUAGCCUUUCAAAAAUGGUUGAGCAUUUCUAUCCCCUAAAAAAUAUUAUGGGUGAUAUUUUAAUCUCUCAAAAUACUAUUUUACAUGGGAAUCAGAAUGAUUGUUCGGGACCUUUUAGUGGUUGAAUAUUUACCCAUGUCCAUUUGAUCUGUUUCGCACAGUAACCACAUCCAGAUGAGAGGCCUUUGUUUAGGCAUCUAGAAGUGAAAGUGAUAUAAAACACAGUAUUUAUUAAUAUGCUGUAAUAUGCAAAUGCCUACAGCUAACCUGCUUGGUAAAAUCUCUUGUAAUUACAGUAAAAUACAGUAGAAAUAAUUUUCUUACAGUUUAAUAGAAGCAUUUACUGUACUGUGUUUCAUUGCCCCGGCAUCAUCGUGAAUAUCUCAGUAUUGU